rnacentral:miRNA from 14 species
CAUGUGCAUGCGUGUGCCUAUGUGUGUGUGCAUGUGCCUGUGUGUGUGCAUGUGUGUGCCUAUGUGUGUGUGCAUGUGCCUGUGUGUGUAUAUGUGUGUGUACCUCUGUGUGUAUGUAUGUGCAUGU